rnacentral:misc_RNA from 1 species
AAUUAAAUACAAAAUUAAUUUUCAAUCAUUAAUUAAACCUUAAACAACGAAUGUCUUGGCUCUUUACACGAAGAAGAACAUUGCAUAAUGUGAUAAGCGACUAGAUUAGCUCAAUUUGUGAUAAGUUCGAUCUUUGAAUGCAUAUUGCGUAUUUAUUAAUUUAUUAAUAAAUACAUAUAUAAUUUAGUAACAAAUAAUAAUUAAUUAAUCAUUUUA